rnacentral:rRNA from 1 species
UACAGAGGGUACUAGCGUUGUUCGGAAUUACUGGGCGUAAAGGGCGCGUAGGCGGCGUAUCAAGUCAGAUGUGAAAGCCCCGGGCUUAACCUGGGAACUGCAUUUGAUACUGGUAUGCUAGAGUACGGGAGAGGAAAGUGGAAUUCCUAGUGUAGAGGUGAAAUUCGUAGAUAUUAGGAGGAACACCAGCGGUGUAGACGGCUUUCUGGACCAUUGCUGACGCUGAGACACGAAAGCGUGGGUAGCAAACAGG